ACCAACACCCAGCAAAAAAAAAAAACCCAUGAACCCCAUCCUUCGUUGCCCCCUCCCAUCGAUCCCAUCUACCCACGCCGCCGCCGUCCGAGGGGGAGACGACGACGCCGCCGCCUCUGCAAGGCAGGGCGGUUUGAAUCCCGCCGCCGCCGAACUCCGGGAAACGCCCGACGGCGUACCCUGGAAGGCCUGGAUCAAGGAGGAGCACAGACAGAUCCUGCCGUUGGCCGCGACCCUCGUCGUCUACCUCCACCGGCCAUCCCGCACACCCUUGCUCUCCGUGCGUCGCGCCAUUCCCCACCCCGUUGUGCCCCGCCUCUGUCCUAACCGUCGAAAUCGGCCUCGCCGGCGGCGCCGCUCCCGUGUGCUUCGUGCUCCUGCGCUGCUGCCGUCGCGAUGUCCGGGGGAUCCAUGGCGGCCAGCUGCUUGUCAACCACAACGAGCGGAGGUAGCGAGUUGGAUUUGGCCACGCCUGAGGUGAGCGGAGCAGAGCAGCGUGGUCACACCUCCUGAUUGAACAAAAAUCUCAUACGCUUGACUACACGAUCUGUCAUGUUCUCGUGGGCCGGCAGCGAUUUCGUGGCCGCGGCAUAGCGGCGCGGUGGCCGGGGGUCGCGGCGUCCCAUGUGGGUGCAAUGGUCACGGCAGCAGGCACACACGGCGGUGGUCGCGCAUGGGGCUGCGCUGGUCUGUGACCACAUGGUGGCGGUAGAAGGUCGUCUUCCCAGAGCACCGCACGCUGGCCGCCGUCUCCAUCGGCGGCCGCACCAACAAGACAGACUGUAUAAUUCGGAUGGGUCUUCUUCUACAUGGUGACUAUUGACGCAAAGAAGGAUUGCACUUCGUUCCCAUCUUCUACAUAGCCUAUACGAGGAAUAUGAAAAGGAGAUCAAUCACACCAGGUCCCACGAGCUCAUGUAAGUUGAAGAGGCAAAAAUUCUUGAUAACGUGGAGCAUACUCGCAUUAUCGUCAUUUUGUAACCUAUUAGGCCUUCAUAAUUCUUUAUGGGAUGUAAAAUUGGUUGUAUUAUUAACAAAACUCAUUAAUAUGAACAAUCCAGGUAUAUUUGCACUUCUAUAGAUUGUGAAAGUUUCAAAUAUUUAACGAUGAUACAUGUACGGAUUGAUGGAGUAGUAACUUCAAUUUAGUUCUUAAAAUGUACUCCCUCCAUUCCACAAUGUAGUGCCUAUAGAUUUUUGUGAAAGUCAAACUUUGCCAACUUUGACCAAGUGUAUAGAGAAAACUAUCUACAUCUACAAUAUCAAACAUAUACAUUCUGAAAAUAUAACUCGCGAUGUAUCCGGUGAUGUCCAUUUGGUAUUCUAGAUGUAUCUACUUUUCUCUAUAGAUAUGGUCAAAGUUUGUAAUGUUUGACUUUUGCAAAAAUCUAUAGGCACUACAUUAUGGAACGGAGGGAGUAAGAAAUAUGGAUAAAAUAUGAUAAGAAUAGCAGAAUUGUGUUUGCACGAUGACGAUGCACAUGUUUUUCCGUGUGUAUUGGUAUACACUAGAUGACUAGAAUGUAUAUAGUACAUCUUGUUUAUCUUUUAUUUUCACAUGAUUUAUUUAUCUUUUGGCAUAUUGGACAUCUUGCGGCUUUCUGAAUGGUGCCUUGCUAGGAUGACCCAAAUUAUGUUAGUGUCGGUACGUUUAGUUGGUGAUGGUUUAGCGGGAGCGACAACUGCAUCUGUAACUUACGUAACUUACCCAUUGGAUGUUGUUCGAACUCGCUUGACAACACAGGUAACGUCCGUGAUGUGUCCUGUUUAACUCUUUGGGAUGUUCAGUCCAUUGCUUAUAUUGCUGGUACAGGAGGGUGAGGCAGUGUCAAAGCUACUUAGCAUUCUAAGAUUGUGAACCAGUAUAUGGGUUUGCACAUCUGAGUGCUGGUGAUCUUCUUCGCGAAGAAGUUAAAUGUGAUAUGGAGCAGAUUAAAAUUGACCAUGAGCUCGUACUAUUAAUUGAUGGCUCAAGGGAAGAGACAGCGGCAUAUUCUUAGUUGAAAUCAGUUUGAUGUUUUUCAGGAAUGAAUUCCACUCGUUAUUCAAUACCACUAUGAGAAAAGUAGUGAAAUGCUGGCCGUCUGCAAAAUGUACUGGUCCGUCUCGCGGUCUCACCCCAAAAACAGAGGAGAGGAGCAGGGAGCUCCUCCCUCACACUUGUCGGCUCCAAGGAGCCCCGCCACCAUGCAUGGAGAAGAGGAGCGCGGAGCUCCGCCGCCGCGUAAGGCAAACCAAGGCUGCAACGUUUGAAUAUUAUACUCAGUCAGUUGCUCGACUACUUACAGUCCUAUUACUUGAGACUUAAUACUCGGUCAGCUGCCGUGUACAUUGUUCUGACAUAAAUGCCACCAUGUCUAUGCGCAAGUCAGAAGGAACUUACCAUCUAAAAAGAUGUCUAAUUAGUGUGGUACAUGCUUCAGUACUGCAAGUUGGAGUAGCAAUGCCUACCUGCACAUUGAUGCUCAUACCUGACGGUGAGAGAAGUUGCAUCUUGAGAUUCAAUUCUUUGAUUUAUGAUGCCCAGCCAUAUGCACAAUGAGAACAUAUAUCCUUUUUCUAAUCUCUGUUUUUCUAAGUUGAAACUAUUUCUUUGUUACUUGGUUUGAGGACGGCAAAAGACUGGCCUUUUGCCGGACAGAGAAAAGACCGGCUUAUUUUAUUUUAACACAACAUAGCAAGCUCCAUAUAUUUCAGUUAGUACAUGGCAGGAUGCAGACUAUGUGCAGUAUUAGUGGUGUUUAGACUCCAAAAUGGCAGUAUUAGUGGUGUUUUAAAGAGAAAGAUUCGUAAAUGAUGUUGUUUUCUACUAAGAAAAUUCAGUAGUCGGUGUCACCAUUGAGUGCCAAUGUGAUGGGCAUUUAAGAUUUAGAUUCAGAACUCCAGGGUUCAACACAGAUGGCUUCACUUCAAUAUUUUUCCCCAUGUGGUUGAUGGAUGCUUCACUUAAGUUUUGAUGCAUCGUGUAUACUGAAUCCUACAUUAUGUUGAGAAAUUUAGAUAUAUAAAAGUAUCUGUAAGCCGACCACAUACCACACAUUUUAAAGGUUUAUUUUCUCUACAUCUGUACUAGCUUUGAACCAAGUAUUUCUACUUUCUUUUUAUUUGUUGCCAAAAAUUAAGGAAUGUUGAUCUGAUGUAUUUUUACAACAAUCAGCGUGUUGACGUGGAGCUUGUCCAUUCGCGACAUACCUUGUUUAUGUGGGAGGGCUGGAUGAUUGAAAGUCGGACGUACCAUUAACGACGGUUGUGAGCAUGGAUUGGGGAGACGAAGAUUAUGGGAGCACAAGAAAGAAAAGAAGAAGAAAACACGUUGCGGAGCGUGGCGGCCUCCCAGUUCUUGGCCUCUGUCGGGUGGCUAGACCACGCCACAUAGAAGACGAGGGUUAUCUCAGUUAGGGGCCUCGGCAACGACGACGAGAAUGGCCAGGUCGAAAUCACAGGUGCGUGACGGCUGGAGACGGCCGCAGGGUCCAGAGAUGGGGCGCACGGCGGAUGUGUUCUACUUCCCAUUGAGAGAAUUCUGGUGGGUUUCUCUAAUAGUAUGCCAAACUAACUAACAAUUGUAGUUAACUAUACUGCAGCGGCGCACUUCUUAUUUUGGGAUUAAGCCUAAUGCUUGCUCUACCAAUCAAGUAGUACUGUUGUGAACUCAUAGGUAACACCAUUCUCUAUCCAAUACAGUGCAUAGCUUUACGUAGAUUGGCAUGGCUGAUCUUCUCUUCCAUUAUUAUUGCUACUUUAUGUUUUAAUUCCAUUGUUCUUCACUUGAUCUUCGGAUCCAUGUUCCAGUGACUUCCUGAACUUUUAUUGUUGAUGGGAAGUUUCUAUUUUAAUUUUUCUUUCACUUUAUCUUCAGGUUUACAGGGUUAUGGAUCCAUGUUUGAGUUUAUAGAAGUGUGUUUACUUAUCUAGCUUUCUGUUCUCAUUCUGUUUGAAAUCCAUCGACAUUUUCCAAAAUUCCCUUAUCAAUGCACGAGUUUCCUUUCUUAAUUAACAUGUGAAGUUCCUUGUUCAACAAUGAUUUUUAGGCCAAAUCAGAGGAUGCAGGUUGUACCAUUGAAGAGAGAAAAUUAUGAGAAAACUACAAUAUAUGAGAGGCUUGGUUGAUACCUUCAGAAAAGCUACAUCCCAAUAAUGUUGUGGGUUACACCUUCUGGCUUGAAAAUCAGCUUCAUAACAAGAAAGUUGCAACACUAUAUUGGUGGAUAAUUGCAUUAAAUAAAUACUGUAAUGGUGCAUUUGUUUUUAGAUUUCUAUUAACCUGGUACCAAAAAGUUGGAGAGCAAGGACCUUAUAUCAGUGGUGUUUAUACUCCAAAAUUGCAGUAUCGGUGGUGUUUAUACUCCAAAAUUGCAGUAUCAGUGGUGUUUAGAUUCCAAAACCUAUCUAGAGUAAUCUGUCAUUUGUUCUUCAAAGAGAUUGCGUAUAUGUUACCCCAUGUCAGGUUCAGUACCUCUGGGUUCAAGAUCUAUAGCUACAAGUAUUUUUGACUAGAUUGUGGUCAUAUAUGUGCUAAUUCAUGCUGAUACGCAUGCUCUUUGAACUUUUGAAAGGAAUGGAUGAAAUCAUCAUCAGAGCUUCUGCAAAUGGGAUCUCUCCUGUAAGCCCUGCUAUAGUUACUUCACUGGUUUGAACUUUGAGUAACUUGAUAUAUGUGUCUCGCAGACAAAAAUAUUUUUAUUUAUUAGUUGUACUAGUACAAAUGCCCGUGCGUUGCACCGGGCGAAAAAUUAAAUAUAACCUGCUCGAUGUGCCAUUAUGGAACACUUUUUUAAUUCGAUUAUUGGAAACAUUAGAAAUAAGGUUACGUUGAACA